rnacentral:rRNA from 1 species
UACGUAGGGAGCAAGCGUUGUCCGGAAUCAUUGGGCGUAAAGCGCGCGUAGGCGGCCCUGUAAGUCCGUUGUGAAAGUCAAAGGCUCAACCUUUGAAAGCCGAUGGAUACUGCAGGGCUGGAGUCCGGGAAGAGGCGAGUGGAAUUCCUGGUGUAGCGGUGGAAUGCGCAGAUAUCAGGAGGAACACCAAUAGCGAAGGCAGCUCGCUGGGACGGUACUGACGCUAAGGCGCGAAAAGCGUGGGGGAGCAAACGGGG